GCGCCCGUGGCUCAAUUGGAUAGAGCAUCAGAUUACGGAUCUGAAGGUUGGGAGUUCGAAUCUCCCCGGGCGCGCCA
rnacentral:tRNA from 1 species